AGUGAACGCUGGCGGCGUGCUUAACACAUGCAAGUCGAACGAGAACGGAAUAUAGCUUGCCAUAUUUGUCAGCUAAGUGGCGCACGGGUGAGUAAUGUAUAGAUAACCUGCCCUUAAGAAAGGAAUAACCGUUGGAAACGACUGCUAAUGCCCUAUAUGCCUUUAAUACCUAAGUAUCAAAGGGAAACGCUUUAGUGCUUAAGGAUGGGUCUGUAUGGUAUCAGCUUGUUGGUGAGGUAAUGGCUCACCAAGGCUAUGACGCCUAGCUGGUUUGAGAGGAUGAUCAGUCACACUGGAACUGAGACACGGUCCAGACUCCUACGGGAGGCAGCAGUGGGGAAUAUUGCACAAUGGACGAAAGUCUGAUGCAGCAACGCCGCGUGGAGGAUGACACAUUUCGGUGCGUAAACUCCUUUUAUAUAGGAAGAUAAUGACGGUACUAUAUGCAUAAGCACCGGCUAACUCCGUGCCAGCAGCCGCAGUAA
rnacentral:rRNA from 1 species